GAUACUUGGUGUGAAUUGCAGAAUCCCGUGAACCAUCGAGUCUUUGAACGCAAGUUGCGCCCGAAGCCAUUUGGACGAGGGCACGUUUGCCUGGGUGUCACAC
rnacentral:rRNA from 1 species